CCCGGGGCCAGAUGUCCGCGAGUGUGCAGACCGCCGAGGGCUUUGUUUACUGUGAAGACGUUACAUGACUUACAUCUCAGCCUGCACGAGGAUUAUCUGCACACAUGUUGGAGCGACAGGGAAAGUGGAUUAGGGCUGCAGAAGACAAGGUGCCAUGUUUGUAAUGAAGUGACAGUCUGUCAGAGAUAGUUGGUGACCAACCCCAAGAUGCAGAGAAGGAGGCAGGCAUUUUGCAGGAGACUCCCGAAUUUCAGUGCCCCUCCCGAAAAUCUCCUGGGGCAACCAUUUGUUACGGUGCAUGCGCAGUCUGAGUCUCCCUCCUCUGCGGGAGCAACCAGAGGAUCUGCGGACAGCGCGUUCGGACACUGAGAGCAGCACGCCCACGCAGCUACAAGCCUGCAGACAAUCAGACAACCUGGACACCUGGGACUGAUGAGGGCAUGCUUAAUUAAGGACCAGUGGACCCAAGGAUCGGCGCGGGAACUUAGUUUUUUCCAUGGAGUACCCAGUGUUUUCUUCGACUGCCUUCCUCGUUCCUCGACUCCUCGCUCGCCCCUGGACUCUGAUGCCUCUCUCUCGCCCCGGUUCACCUGCCUACCCCAUGGACUGCCUCGUUCCUCGUAUCUCGUUCAACACGUUGGUAACACACACUUCAGUUAAAUUCUACACAUAGUCUUACACCAUACACACUCUUGAGUUUUGUCACACUCCAUUUCCUUAGUUUAUUAGUUAGUAUUGUUUAUUAUUCUUAUUAUAUAGCCAUCAAUUUUCUACCGCUUAUCUCCAUUCUUGUACCGUAUGUCCCGGCAAGAAAUCUGCGUUCAAAAGACUCCGGCUUAUUAGUGAUUCCUAGAGCUCAAAAAAAGUCUGCGGGCUAUAGAGCGCUUUCCGUUCGGGCUCCAGUACUCUGGAAUGUCUCACCUUAAAACUCAUUUGUAUACUCUAGCCUUUAAAUAGACCUCAUUUUUAGACCAGUUGAUCUGCCGCUUCUUUUCUUUCUCCUAUGUCCCCCCCUCCCUUGUGGAGGGGGUCCGGUCCGAUGACCAUGGAUGAAGUACUGGCUGUCCAGAGUCGAGACCCAGGAUGGACCGCUCGUCGGGACCCAGGAUGGACCGCUCGCCUGUAUCGGUUGGGGACAUCUCUACGCUGCUGAUCCGCUUGAGAUGGUUUCCUGUGGACGGGACUCUCGCGGCUGUGUUGGAGCCACUAUGGAUUGAACUUUCACAGUAUCAUGUUAGACCCGCUCGACAUCCAUUGCUUUCGGUCCCCUAGAGGGGGGGGGGGGGUUGCCCACAUCUGAGGUCCUCUCCAAGGUUUCUCAUAGUCAGCAUUGUCACUGGCGUCCCACUGGGUGUGAAUUCUCCCUGCCCACUGGGUGUGAGUUUUCCUUGCCCUUUUGUGGGUUCUUCCGAGGAUGUUGUAGUCGUAAUGAUUUGUGCAGUCCUUUGAGACAUUUGUGAUUUGGGGCUAUAUAAAUAAACAUUGAUUGAUUGAUGAUUGAUUUGAGGUUGCGUGGGGUGCUGGUGCUUAUCCUAGCUACAAUUGGGCGGAAGACGGUUCAAAAGGCAGCAUGUGUGAUGGUAUGGGGGUGUGUUAGUGCCCAAGGCAUGGGUAACUUACACAUCUGUGAAGGCACCAUUAAUGCUGAAAGGUACAUACAGGUUUUGGAGCAACAUAUGUUGUCAUCCAAGCAAUGUUAUUAUGGACGCCCCUGCUUAUUACAGCAAGAUAAUGCCAAGCCACACGUUACAACAGCGUGGCUUGAUAGUAAAAGAGUGCGGGUACUAGACUGGCUUGCUUGUAGUUUAGACCUGUCUCCCACUGAAAAUGUGUAAUAUCAUCCAUCCAUUUCCUACCGCUUAUUCCUUUUGGUGGCGCGGGCGGCGCUGGAGCCUAGCCCAGCUACAAUCAGGCGGAAGGCGGUGUACACCCUGGACAAGUCGCCACCUCAUCGCAGGGCCAACACAGAUAGACAGACAACAUUCACACACUAGGGACCAUUUAGUGUUGCCAAUCAACCUAUCCCCAGGUGCAUGUCUUUGGAAGUGGGAGGAAGCCGGAGUACCCGGAGGGAACCCACGCAGUCACGGGGAGAACAUGCAAACUCCACACAGAAAGAUCCCGAGAUUGAACCCAGGACUACUCAAGACCUUCGUAUUGUAAAACAGAUGCACUAACCCAUCUUCCACCGUGCUGCCCUCUUAUUAUAUACGGUAUAUUGACUUUAUAUAUAAUAGAUUAUUGAACAUUACUGGCCCUCUGGUGUCUGUUUGCCGUCACCUCCCCUUAACCAAAACAUAACCCCAUUCUCACAAACUUCUCCCGAUUUCCACCCGGAAAACCAUAUUGGAUGCGUGCCUUAAAGGUACUGCCAUUAGCGCCCCCUACAACCUGUCGUCACAUCUGCUUUUUCUCCUUACAAACAUAUGCGGCUUCUACAUGCAAGGCAUACUUGGUCGACAACCAUACAG